CAAGAGUGGAUCGGCCCUGGGACGGCUUACAAUGGCAGGACACAAUUGAAAACACUGGCUACAUCACCAAGGCUGGAAUGUUAUAUUGAUUGGAAUGUUAUAUUUUCUAAUACGACCAGACAGCUUAAGGAACUAAAAUUGACUUUGAAGAGCCUGGGAAGACAGCUUGGAAAACUGUUUCAAACCUUACCAAUGAGAAAGGAAUGUCACUUCCUGACAAGUCCAGAAAUCUUAGAUAUUUGGGGGACCUCAAGAAAAGAGGAAUUUGCCAAAUCUAUAAGUGUUACAGAUGAAACCUGUUGGCAAGUCCUUGGCCUGGCUUCCUUACCUUCAGAGGCUUCUACCAGUUCAAUCUGAGAUUCCUUUUAUUUUCUUUUUUGAGACGGAGUCUCGCUCUGUCCCCCAGGCUGGAGUGCA
rnacentral:lncRNA from 10 species